CCUACGGGAGGCAGCAGUGGGGAAUAUUGCACAAUGGGCGCAAGCCUGAUGCAGCCAUGCCGCGUGUGUGAAGAAGGCCUUCGGGUUGUAAAGCACUUUCAGCGGGGAGGAAGGCGUUAAGGUUAAUAACCUUGGCGAUUGACGUUACCCGCAGAAGAAGCACCGGCUAACUCCGUGCCAGCAGCCGCGGUAAUACGGAGGGUGCAAGCGUUAAUCGGAAUUACUGGGCGUAAAGCGCGCGCAGGCGGUCUGUCAAGUCGGAUGUGAAAUCCCCGGGCUCAACCUGGGAACUGCAUUCGAAACUGGCAGGCUAGAGUCUUGUAGAGGGGGGUAGAAUUCCAGGUGUAGCGGUGAAAUGCGUAGAGAUCUGGAGGAAUACCGGUGGCAAAGGCGGCCCCCUGGACAAAGACUGACGCUCAGGUGCGAAAGCGUGGGGAGCAAACAGGAUUAGAUACCCGAGUAGUC
rnacentral:rRNA from 1 species